rnacentral:lncRNA from 1 species
GGAAAAUGAGUUGGGGUUUGGAUCCAUCAAAAUUAGGGUGAAAAUUCAAGCACCAGUCUUGAGAUUAUGGGUUGAUGAAUUUCAGGGCGAAGACAUGUGGUGAAAUCCACAAAGUUGCCCCAGUUCUUUUUCUUUGGCAUACGGUUUUGUUUGGGAGAGGUAUUGGACAUGAAAAGGAUCGACUAAAAGGAUGACCCCAAUUGGUUUGAUUUUUUUUUUUUUUUUUGCAUGCUUCUGGCUAGUUGACAGGGAGAUCCCCUCUUCCUCAGACAUUACUUUUUUUCCUCUUUUGUUUUUUUGUUUUGUUUUUUUUUUUUACGACCUGUUGAAAGUCAUUUCGCCUUAUCGCAAAAAUUAAGCUUUAUGAAAAUUUGAGCAAACAUUAUCCAAUCUGUGUGGACUUUAUUAGGCUUGUAACGUGGCUAAGGGCUAAAAGGUAUUGAAAGAAAGGGUAUAAAGGCCCAAAUGAUUGUUUGUCGGUUAUAUGUUUUUGAAACAAGGGUUAUCAUCUAGGAAUUGCAUCAACUAUUUGACUUUUUAAGCACUUUGCUUUUUUCUUGAACUUUGAUUUUCAUCACUUUGUGAUUUCUUUUUGUUCUUUUUGUUUGUUUUGUUUUGUUCACUCUUUUUUAUGAAUUCUCUUCGUUUGAUCACUGAGCGUUCUUCAUUUUCAACAUGAGUUGACUCCUACCAGAUGACAACCCUUGCUUGGGGAUAAUUUUGAAAAAGAAAUUAUUUUUGGUUCAAACGGGGUGACAAUGGAUAUAUUUUACUUUUUUGAUAAAGAAAGAAGGUCACACAUCAUCUUGAAGUCUGAUUGCUUUAUUUUCAAAAGAUUAACUCUACGACUAGAUGACCUCAACAUAAGUCGUUUUAUCUUUUCUUUUGCUUUUUCCCUUCUAGACUGCCCUUUCAGGCUUUCAAUCUAGUGGACUUAUUCUUUUUCUUUUUGUUGUUUUUUUUUUGUCCCAAUGGAUUCAGGGAUCACCCUACUAGCGCAAGCGAGAAAACUUUUGGCCAGGCCAAUCUGCCCCGAGUGUAAAGGUUUACUUUAUUACUGAGGACAGUGAAUGUGUUUGUUGGGGAUGAUCCUUUAUUUUGGAAAAGUGACGGGUAAAGAUUUUCAAGCAACAUGCACACCAAUUUCUCGAGAGAAAACGUCAAAUUGUUAUCUUUGAUUAAACACUUGACCUCAGAAAAGCUUGACACCACCUUUGUUUUAUUUAUUCAUCAUUUUUUCUUUUCCUCCUUUUGUUUUUUUUUUCUAUUUUCGAAAAAUAAGAGUUUGAAAAUUUGCAAGAAAGACAAGAGACUCAAGAUUGCCUUCAUAUUUUGUUUUUCAAUUUUUUUUUAAAUUUUAUUAGAUGAAACAAAAAGAGAAAAAGAAAAGAGAAGACAAUGUAGUUCAAGUACUCUAGUUAGAAAUUAUAAAGCCAUGAAAACAUUGUCCCGGUAUAAUUUGGAAAUUAACACGAAACAGAGUCAAUAGGGUGGCCCAUCAUUCAGAAGGUCCCAAGAUGUGAGUCAUAAGAAGUCCCGGUCAACUAUCUUGGGGCCUUAACCAUAAGAUCUUUCAUUUCUCCCAUAGGUUUCUUGUAGUAAUUGAGGAAAGUUUCAAUCCCCUUAUGCAGGUUAAAUAUCGACACUGCAAACUCAGCAUCAGCUAAAAGCUUAGGGACGUCUUCACUGACUUCAUUGGUAAGGGAAGCUAGUUAUGAGAGGCUUCAUUUUCAAUUCGCCCUUGUUCAACAACAUGUUUCUUCAUUUGAAUUAUCAAUUCUUGAUGUCUCCUUUUUAGCUUGAUGCUAACCUUCCUUCUUCAGUUUUGCCAAUGCUGCUUUCACACGUUAUUCAAUUAUGAAAUUACUUUUCACCAUUUGGGUCAGGAGAAAUUAACUCGAGUGGUAACUUGAUUGUCGUAACCCUUUUUGUGAUCAAUUGGCUAAAGGAAUAUUUCAUUGACAGUCCAUGAUCUUUAGCCUUUCGUCGAAGCGAACAACAUUGCCCCCAAGCAUUCUUAACUUGAAGCAUUUCAGUAAAGGUUCCUCCCUCAGCAGAUUUGCGAUGUGGCAAGAGAUGUAGAUGUUGACGACCCUCUCACAGGAUGCCCGAAUUUUUUUUUUCCUCUUUUUUUUGUUGUUUUUUUUUUGUUGUUUUUUUUUUGACACACACACAACAAUGGAUACCCAUGAGGGGGACAUUAGGGUAAUUCUCACAACGGCGUGCGAUACAUGAUAUUUGUUGCCAAGAGACACACCAUUUAAACGUUUCCUCUUCUGAGCCUGCACAGAGCUGCGUUCAUUCAUUUGCCCCUUUCAUCUUUAGUUUAAUCAGAGUAGUUCCUAGGGGACAUAUGGCAUUCAAAGCACCCUUAUUCUGUUACCAAUGAGGAGUAUUGGUAAAACCUGAAUAUGAGUUUUAAUUCUGUUGCGUUAUACUCUUCGAAAAUUACCCCCUCCGAUACCAACAAUUGGUUGGUAUCAGAGCUUGCUUUGAUAGUUUUUCAAAAUAUUUGCGAAAAUGGCCGG